AAGUGUGUAACCCUCAAUAGUCUAGGGGCUAUAAUGUAAAUAUAUAUGUCGUAUUGCAAUCAAACGAUUGCAACAAUAAUUGUAACCGGCUCUCUUGAGCAUCAAAAGUGUAUCCCACUUCAUUUUCUUCGUUAAUAAUAAUGAUUGGUGUAUUUUCUUUUUCCUGAGACAUAUUUAAUAAAUUAUUCUUGUUAUUUUAUCUUCAAGAUUUUUUAUUUGUUAAUAUUUAAACUUGAAAAACUCAUGAUUAUAAUUUUUAGAAACAAAAUGAUAAUUUAUUUUUUCUUUCAAAGUUACGAUUUAUCAAUUCUAAUAAGAUGUUGAUGGUGGGGUUUUCUAAUACUAUUAUAUUUAUGAUGCAGUUAGAGAAUUAAAAACCUCUUUGACAUAUGAAAUGUGUUUCUAACUUCUUGGUACAUAGUCAUAAUUGUAAAAACUCUUCUACCGACAUAUGUUUAAAUUGUAGGUGGAUAGUAGUAUUUGAUUUUAAUAAUGAGUUUAUGAUAACAACUUAUAACGAUGAAUUAUUGUAACGAUGAAUAUAUUGGAAUAGUGUCUAAGGCUGCAACUAUAUUAGGCAAAUAUUUGACCCGGUUGUGCAUGGUCCUUUUGGGUUGCCUUCACCAUAGCAACUUGAUAGGAUGAUUUAUUAUGAGAGAGUAAAUAUUAUUAAUAUAUUAUGAGAAUAAUAUAAAGAAUAAUAUAUUGUUAUUUGAUUAAUAUAAGUCAUAGAAUUAAUUGGAAUUAAUUUGGUGACUUAAAGAGAUUAAUUAAAUAAGAGGGUAUAAACUGUCAAUUGUUUGAUAGUUAAACUUUAGACUGUAAAUCCAUAUAGAUAUGGAUUGGACGGAUUCUAGAAGCUAAAGGAUAGCUCAAAUCGUCCAAGAGUUAUCUAAGGAAUGGAUUUGGAUAGCCUUAAGAGAAGAUUAUCCAAUUAGGGUUUAGGUUGUAACCCUUAAGGAGUCUACAAGUAUAAAUAGACCCUAUGGCAAAGGGAAAUCGGCACUUCAUCUAAAGUAAGAGAACCCUGGCCGAUUUCCUCCCCUCUCCUCUCUCCCAAAUCAUCCUCCUUGCUAUUUGGUGUUUGUAAGCCAUUAGAGGAGUGACAAUUGUGACUCUAGAAGCUCCAAGACAACAAGAUCAACAAGGAAUUCAAAGGUAUGAUUCUAGAUCUGUUUCAAUAUUGUUAUUACACCUAAAUAGUCAUUAGAAGUCUUGGAUUCAAAGCAUGUUUAAUUAGAAAGCCUAGAUCCAAGCAUUAGGGUUUUGCAUGCGCACAUAGGAAAGUUCUUAUGGCUAAAACCCAUCAGUGGUAUCAGAGCCUAGCUUGGUUUUCAUUAAAUUGUUGCUUGAUUAACUGAAACAAACCUGCAAAAUUCGAUUUUUUGGUUUCUGAGUCAUGGACUCGGCGAGUUCCAAAGUGGACUCGGCGAGUUGGCCUGACUCGGCGAGUCCUUUUGUGCACUCGGCGAGUCCAGGCGUCAGGAAUGGCCAGAUUCGGGAUUUCUUCAUAAUUAUCUUAUGGAAACUUACCUUAAUCAUAAUAGAUCAAUCUAAAUCCGAUUUUGUUAUAUAUAUGACUAUUAUCUUGAUCUAGUUAAAGGUAUUUAUCAACUAAUAAAAUAUUUAAUUUCCUUAUAUGAUAAUUAAUUAAUUAUUUUAAUUAUUUUGGUAAUUAUCUUUCAAAGAAAUCUUGAAUAAAAUCAAAUAUAGAUAAUUAGGAUAUUAAUUGUUAAUUGGAAUUAUUUGUUAUUUAAUCCUCCAUGUUUUAAAUGUUUAAAACUUGCCCUCAAGUUUUGAAAUUUAUAUUUGUGAUUAAAAGUUUUAAUUUAGACAACUUAAAUUUCAAACCCUAGAUUUUAAGGUAUAAUCUUAUCUUAAUCUUUCUUAAUACCGUCAUGUUGUUAAAUUUGGUAUCAGAGCAAUUAAUCCGUCAUCAUGUUAUUUUGAAUUUGGUAUCAGAGCUAAGUAACGUUCUUACUAUUAUUUUGAAUAUUAAAUCUUUCAUUCAUAUGAAUAUAUGUUCAUCAUGCAUCAUCAUAUAUAUUCUUAUAAAUAUUCAUCGUUACAAACAUUCAUCGUUAUAAGUUAUAAACUCAUUAUUAAAAUCAAAUAUUAUUAUCCACCUACAAUUUAAACAUAUGUCCGUAGAAGUUUUUUUUACAACUAUGACUAUGUACCAAGAAGUUAGUAACACAUUUCAUAUGUCAAAAAAGAUUUUAAUUCUCUGACUGCAUCAUAAAUAUAAUAGUAUUAAAAAACCCCACCAUCAAUAUCCUAUUAGAAUUUAUAAAUCGUAACUUUGAAAAAAAUUAUAAUAACUAAAUAAAUUAUCAUUUUGUUUCUAAAAAUUAUAAUCAUAAGUUUUUCAAGUUUAAAUAUUAACAAAUAAAAAAUCUUGAAAAUAAAAUAACAAGAAUAAUUUAUUAAAUAUGUCUCAAGAAAUAGAAAAUACACCAAUCAUUAUUAAUAACGAAGAAAAUGAAUCGGGAUACACCUUUGAUGCUCUAAUUAAUAAAAAUAAUAUUAAUAAAGAUGCUAUAAGAAAAUCAAAUUUUACACUAUCUGAAAAACAUAAUUUUAGUUAUAACUCAUUGAGAGAAGAUUAUACAUGAAUGAUGCGGUGGAUUAUAUAGAUGAUGGAUUAUGUAGAAUGAUUGGAUGAUUAUGUGGAUAAUUUGAAUAGGGCUCUGCUAUUUAGAAAUAGAACAACUAUUUCAACAGAGAAGACAAUUGAGAUCAACUCAAGUCUUAAACACUCAAACUUAACUUGUUUAUUUCAUAUGGGCAAAGGCCCUAUUCAUAGGCUCAAGAGAGCCGGUUGCAAUCGUUCGAUUGCAAUACGACAUACAUAUUUACAUUAUAAUUCCCGAGACUAUUGACGGUUACACACUUUAUGUUACAUCUCAAAUAAUACAACCGACACUUAAUAAUUAUCCUACCGACACUUCUAUUUAAUUACGUAAAAGUAACAAUCCUUUAUUUAAGACACGUGUCCUUUCAACGUGGAAGGGAUUGUUAUUUUUACGUAAUUAAAUAGAAGUGUCGGUAGCAUAAUUAUUAAGUGUCCGUUGUAUUAUUUGUGAUGUAACAUAAAGCGUGUAACCCUCAAUAGUCUAGGGGGCUAUAAUGUAAAUAUGUAUGUCGUAUUGCAAUCAAACGAUUGCAACAAUAAUUGUAACCAGCCCUCUUGAGCAUCAAAAGUGUAUCCCACUUCAUUUUCUUCGUUAUUAAUAAUGAUUGGUGUAUUUUCUAUUUCUUGAGACAUAUUUAAUAAAUUAUUCUUGUUAUUUUAUCUUCAAGAUUUUUUAUUUGUUAAUAUUUAAACUUGAAAAACUCAUGAUUCUAAUUUUUAGAAACAAAAUGAUAAUUUAUUUUCUCUUUCAAAGUUACGAUUUAUAAAUUCUAAUAAGAUGUUGAUGGUGGGGUUUUUUAAUAUUAUUAUAUUUAUGAUGCAGUUAGAGAAUUAAAAACCUCUUUGACAUAGAAAUGUGUUUCUAACUUCUUGGUACAUAGUCAUAAUUGUAAAAAACCUUCUCCCGACAUAUGUUUAAAUUGUAGGUGGAUAGUAGUAUUUGAUUUUAAUAAUGAGUUUAUGAUAAUAACUUAUAACGAUGAAUGUUUGUAACGAUGAAUAUUUAUAAGAAUAUAUAUGAUGAUGCAUGAUGAACAUAUAUUCAUAUGAACGAAAGAUUUAAUAUUCAAAAUAAUAGUAAGAACGUUACUUAGCUCUGAUACCAAAUUUAAAAUAACAUGAUGACGGAUUAGUUACUCUCAUACCAAAUUUAAAGACAUGACGGAAUUAAUAAAGAUUAAGAGAAGAUUAUACCUGAAUGAUGCGGUGGAUUAUAUUGAUGAUGGAUUAUGUUGAAUAAUUAGAUGGUUAUGUGGAUAAUUUGGAUAGAACUCUGCUAUUCAAAAAUAGAAAAACUAUUUCAACAGAGAAGAAAGUUGAGAUCAACUCAAGUCUUAAACACUCAAACUUAACUUGUUUAUUUCAUAUGGGCAAAGGCCCUAUUUAUAGGCUCAAGAGAGUCGGUUACAAUUAUUGUUGCAAUCGUCUGAUUGCAAUACAACAUACAUAUUUACAUUGUAACCCCCUAGACUAUUGAGGGUUACACACUUUAAGUUUGGCAAUUACAAUUACGUCAAUUUCACCCAUACCUCAAGUAUAUCAAAAGUGCCAACAACCAUAUAGCCGACACACUAACAAGUGAAUGGAAGCCAUCAUAAAGCAACCCAGAUAAGAAGCAACACUAUUCAUGGAAGACUAACACAAGAAUUAAAAAAUAUCAGCUUUUUCGGAGGCGGGAGGAAUGACGCAAGCAAUGACAUAAAAAGCCAUUAUUGAAGAUUAACAGGAGGAAUACCGUAAGCAAUGACGUAAAAUGCCAUUAUUGAAGACACCUAAUAACGUAAGCAAUGACGUAAAAAGCCAUUAUUGAAGACAACUGUCUUUUCAAUGUGGAAGGGAUUAUUAUAUUUUUAAUUAUGUAAAGUGUUGGUAGAAUUAUUUGUAUUUGUCGGUAGGAUAAUUAUUAAGUGUCUGUUGUAUUAUUUGUGAUGUAACAUAAAGUGUGUAACCCUCAAUAGUCUAGGGGCCUAUAAUGUAAAUAUGUAUGUCGUAUUGCAAUCAAACGAUUGCAAC
rnacentral:lncRNA from 1 species